UACGAAGGGGGCGAGCGUUGUUCGGAUUUACUGGGCGUAAAGGGCGCGCAGGCGGCUUAUUUUGUCAGGCGUGAAAGCCCCGGGCUUAACCUGGGAACUGCGUUUGAUACGGAUGGGCUAGAGUUCGGGAGAGGAGAGUGGAAUUCCCAGUGUAGAGGUGAAAUUCGUAGAUAUUCGCAAGAACACCAGUGGCGAAGGCGGCUCACUGGCCCGAUACUGACGCUGAGGUGCGAAAGCGUGGGGAGCAAACAGG
rnacentral:rRNA from 1 species